UUUUGUUAUUGUGAUUGUCAUAUUUGGUAAGGUAUGACUAAUCUACAGUUUCAAAUUAUUUACUUGAAUUGUUAUUACUAUUUUAAAUUUAAUAGUAUAAAAAUGGUAGUUUAAAAUUUAAUGGUAUAAAAAAAUUUGAGAUUAAAUAAAAGCAUUUAUAGAUACUAUCAUUUUUCUACUAAUUUAUUUCAGUUUCAGUCUAUUUAACUUAUUUAUUUUCGAGUAAUUUUGAAUCAAAUAUUUCAUAUAAAAUUUAUUAUUUUUAUUUUUACUAUUUCAAAAGGUAGAAUUUUUUUUUUUAUGAUUGUUCCUACAUAACUGCUGCGUUUUUUUAAUUUUUAUAAGUUAUAAAAUUUAAAUAUUUUCAAAGUUUAAAAGAUGUCACUAUUAAAAAUACUAUUUUUUGAAACAAUACUCAUUUACAACAUUUUUAGAAUUCCUUACAAAUGCAACUAUCAAAUAGGAAAAAUCCUUAGAUAUAUGUAGAUACACCAGUGUGACUGAUAUGCCCAAAGAUAAUAAGUAUAUCUAAUAAAAUUGGUAAUUUAGUUUUUAAGUCUCCACCAAUACCCACCGCAUGACUUCUCGUCUUAUCAAGUUAAAAAAAUUAUUGGAAACGAUGAAGUGCAACUAAAUAAGUUAUUUCUACUUGAUACAUCAUUUGACUCUUGGAAAAAAAGUUAAGUGAUUGUAUGAUGGAAAUAAUGAGAAAUCGAAAAUACACACCACGAAGAUCAAAAGAAUACUGUUGGUGGUGGUGAUUUUCAAAAAUAUUUUUCACAAAAUUUAGAAUUAAAGUAAUCAGUUGAUGAAUUGAAAGGUUACUGAAAAAUUAGUUAGUUUCUAGAAGUCCCAAAUAAGUUUAAAAAUAUGUGAAAUUGCAUCCUAUAUACACAAUUUUUUUCUCUAAUUAAGUUAAUACCAUAAAUCUCACACUAUGCUACUUUUGUUGAUAGACACAAACCUAACUUCUUCGUGGUUUUUUAGCUAAUUGACUCUAAAAAUAUUUGGAAAUCAGUUGUAUAUAUAUAAUUGAUGAAGAUGUCAAUUGAAUGAAGCGUUACAUUUGUCUGCGGAAGAGAUGCGGCCGCUAACUCAUGAUCUGAAUGGGUGCUUUGUAGCAUUAAAAAAGAUAUCAUUCAUCACUUCAAGAUAUCCACCCAAAAAGGUAGCACAUUUGUUUGUAGGUAUAGUAAAAAAAUGAGUAAUUGUACUCUCUAUACAAAAAUAACAUCAAUAUUUGCAUGAAUGGAAAGUCAAAUUUUUGGCUGAGCUGUUUUUUCAAAAUAACAAUUUUACCCUUAUAUUAGCUUUUUAACAUUACAUAACAUCCAAUACACGUCUGAUAAAACUUGCAUGAGAGAGUGAAUUCUCUUUCUCUUUUUUUCUUGAGUAUACUCCUCGGUAAUAUCGAUCUCAUUCCUCUUUCCUCUUCAUUCAACCCUCUGCAACUUUUUAUUCAAAAAAAAUAAUUUUUCAUCUUAGGAGAAUCUCAUGAAAUUUUGUUCAUUGUUUACCUAAACGAGAUUUAUUAGCCUAAUCACUUAGUUUUCUCGCAAUCUCCGUAGCGCCAUAUUACGGAGGAUACGGUUUAGGUUAGGUUCUGAAGGUCGCUCCUGCUCUUCAUAUGGUUUCUAGGGCUUCGAUUGGAGAUGGCGUUAUCGUCAAAGCAGGAGAGUAGGCUUCGGCGCUGAAGAAGCAUGGUUCUCUUCAGAGACGAGCUGUCGUUAUUGUUGGGAUUGCAGAGGAUUACACUCGAAUGUUUAAAGAUUGUGUCAAUGAGGUAGCUCUCAAUAGCAAUUGCAUCGACUAGUAUUAUUGUGAAGAGGGUGAUAUGAAGAAUUUGUUUUGUUUCGUUGUGUACGAUACAAGAAUCUUGUUAUGAUUAGCCGGUUACAAAACAAUUCAAGUUACAAUUUUUGUAAAACAUAAGUAGCUUGUUAUGAAUUAUUCUAAACCAACUAACAAUACAUAUAACCAUCAUUCGAUCCAAUAGCCGGUAAUUUUAAAUCCAAAUAUCAGCUAACAUGUAAAAUAUCCAGAUAUUUCAAAA